CAGUCGCCGCGGGAACACAGAGGGUGCGAGCGUUAAUCGGAUUUACUGGGCGUAAAGCGUGCGUAGGCGGCUUCUUAAGUCGGAUGUGAAAUCCCUGAGCUUAACUUAGGAAUUGCAUUCGAUACUGGGAAGCUAGAGUAUGGGAGAGGAUGGUAGAAUUCCAGGUGUAGCGGUGAAAUGCGUAGAGAUCUGGAGGAAUACCGAUGGCGAAGGCAGCCAUCUGGCCUAAUACUGACGCUGAGGUACGAAAGCAUGGGGAGCAAACAGGAUUAGAUACCCGCGUAGUCCCUGUCUCUUAUAA
rnacentral:rRNA from 1 species